rfam:Gossypium arboreum cultivar AKA8401 contig_13573_1, whole genome shotgun sequence.
UGUUAAAAAUUUCAUCAAUUUAUAUUAUUAAAAAUUGGAGUAGCUGAUAGAAUAAUAAGACUAUGACACAUGACAUGCCACGUGUACAUCAUAUUGACGUAUAGAGACCAAUUUUUAAAAAUAAAAAUAGAUAAAAUUUUUAAUA